AGGAGAUGGAGGAGGAGAAGCUGAAGGAGAGGCUGGAGCAGAUGGAGGAGGAGAGGCUGGAGUAGAUGGAGGAGGAGAAGAUGGAGCAGAUGAAGGAGGAGAAGCUGAAGGAGAAGCUGGAAAUUUACAGGCCCAGAAUGCAAAUGACAAGCACACUGUGAGGAUUGUAGGAAUCCACAAAGUCCUACAGACAAUAGUUCACCUGCACGUUAGGGUCAACGGGGAGAUUAAGCUAUUAAGCAUCACACCUGCCCGACUGGCGAAGGCAUUCGGCAUCAGACGGAAGGACGUCUCAAAGGACAGACUGUUGAAGGAGAUACCAGCGAAGGCAGCGGUGGAGAUCAAAGAAAACAAAGAAAUAAUUAACAUCAUAAAAAUGUAAAAUAAAUAAAUAAAUAAAUCUCACUGCUUCAUUUGAAACUAGAUGCUAAAACUAUUUGUCUAUUAUUAUUUUUGUAACUUUUUUUUGAAGGUAAUAAAGAGAAUGACUUGGA